rnacentral:lncRNA from 1 species
GCAGGACGGGUAGGUUUAUAGGUGCGGGUCGAACAUCCUUUGUGGUAUCUAGAUUCCGUAAGCUUCCCCAAUAGAACAGUAGAUCAUCCUUACCAAGGUUAGAACGAGACUACGGUUGCAGUCUUCUCUAUACAUCACUCACAUCGAGAAACAUUCUUUGUAGCCUAAAGGGAUAGUAGCAAUAGAGUUGGUUAGUCAGAUGCACCCUUUCUCCCAGUGGUAAAAAUAUAAAUACGAUAACUCUGGAUAACCUCCCGGGUGAAAUGCUCACCGAUAUCCGUGCGCUUGCGGAUCAUUUCCUUAUUGCAUUACCAAAUAUCAACAGGCACCAUCACUUUCAUCUUCACUUG